GACGAACGCUGGCGGCGUGCUUAACACAUGCAAGUCGAGCGGUAAGGCCCUUUCGGGGGUACACGAGCGGCGAACGGGUGAGUAACACGUGGGUGACCUGCCUCUAGCUCUGGGAUAAGCCUGGGAAGCUGGGUCUAAUACCGGAUAUGACCUCGCGGUGCAUGUUGCGGGGUGGAAAGCCUUGUGCGGCUAGGGAUGGGCCCGCGGCCUAUCAGCUUGUUGGUGGGGUGAUGGCCUACCAAGGCGACGACGGGUAGCCGGCCUGAGAGGGCGACCGGCCACACUGGGACUGAGACACGGCCCAGACUCCUACGGG
rnacentral:rRNA from 1 species